UACAGAGGGUGCAAGCGUUGUUCGGAAUUAUUGGGCGUAAAGGGUGCGUAGGCGGGUCUUUAAGUCAGGGGUGAAAUCCUGGAGCUCAACUCCAGAACUGCCUUUGAUACUGAAGAUCUUGAGUCCGGGAGGGGUGAGUGGAACUGCGAGUGUAGAGGUGAAAUUCGUAGAUAUUCGCAAGAACACCAGUGGCGAAGGCGACUCACUGGACAUGUAUUGACGCUGAGGUGCGAAAGCGUGGGGAGCAAACAGG
rnacentral:rRNA from 1 species